GUGCUUGCUUUAGUAACACAUAUACUAAAAUCAGAGCGAUAUAGAGAUUAGCAUGGCCCCAGUGCAAGGAUGAUACAAAAAUUUAUGAAGCACUUUAUAUUUAA
ensembl:snRNA U6 U6 spliceosomal RNA